ensembl:misc_RNA Y_RNA Y RNA
GGCUAGUCUGAAGGUAGUGAGUUCUCUCAAUUGAUUGUUUACAGUCAGUUACAGAUCCAACUUCCUUCUCGCGACUGCACUUGACUGAGUGCAGU